GUGAAAGACGAGGGAAGAGCAAGCGAGAGAUAGCUUGGCAAAACUGGAUUUUAAGACCACCAUAUUGCAUCCCAUACGGUAACACUUGUCCAAUUGGCGGUGCAAGAUUGUGCUGUUCAUGGCGAUGUUUCCCACGAUUUGGUUACAACAAACCAUGGCGUUGUGUGUAAGACGCGAUCCUGAUUUAAAAGCUGUCCAUCACCAAGAGUCCUCCACUUCACAUGGAUAAGAAGUCUUAAUUUUUAUAGUCUUGGAUAAUUGUAUUUUAUGAAUUUACUGUGAACAACCCAUCAUUAGAAAUAAAAAUUGCAUAUAAUUUUGGUACAACUUUUGCGUAUCAUUCACGCUACAUUAGUUUGAAUUUCUUCAACUUUGGUGUCAAAUGUAAAAUAUUCGAGAAACAGAAACUGACGAGUUUAAACUAAUGUAAUUCUAUAAAGUAAAAAAAUAUUAUAAAUAGUAAUAAUGGAACUUCGCAGUUAAAUAAAUGGAUGGUUAAUGCA